GUAGUUAUAAAAUGCUUCAGGGCGAAAGGAAAAAGUGCAAGCAUUUCUCAACAGCUGGAGUGAGGGAGAACAUCCAAUUAAGUAUAGGGAAAAGUGGAACAGUGUGAAAAGUAGUAUAUUAAUUUUUUUGAGUUUAGAUCACGGGGACUAAGUUAUUCAAAAGCUCAACAAAAGAACCAAGUUUUAAAUUUCUUUUUAAAAGAUGCAAGGGUAGGUGCCUGCCUGAUUUCCCUAGGGAGGGAGUUCCAGAUCCAGGAGGCCACUACCGAGAAGGCCUGCUCCCUUGUCCCCACCAGCCGAGCUUGUGAUGCGGGUGGGAACGAAAGAAAGCCUCUCCCGUUGAUCGAAGAGAUCGUUCAGGUACAUAGGAGGAAACAAGGUCACGAAGGUGUCUUCAGAUCUUCUGAUAGUUGGUGGUGACUCAACGCUCACUGUAGAACCAGGGGACACCGCUGCUUAUACUCUGAAUAUAUCACCCUGGAAACGUGGAGAAUUUAAAGGUAUUUUUUAAAAUCAAUUUGGCACUGCAGUAUGAGACAAUUACCCAGUGUUUUCACCAUCAGUUAACCACUGAUGAAUUUAUCUGAACUCUAGCCUCAAUUUCUCUAAAGCCUUUUUCUUGGAUAAUAUGCCUCCUGAGGAAUCAGACUUCAUAACAUCAGUUCUAAAGUGAAGAUGGUGUGAGACUUCAAUUUCUUGGCUUUAAGAAAUCUUUUUUCAACUAAUUGUUUAUCCUUGGACUAUUUCCAUAAAAGUUGUCCUUUAUGCCAGGCUGCUUUUGAGAACAAACCAAAGGAAUAGUUCAUCUUCAAGACAGGGUGGGCUAUGGACAGGCAAAAAGGGAUGCUCACUGUUAAUACUUUUUCUGCUUUUUUGGUCAAAGCAUUAGUAACAGUAAAAGAUAAGCCAUUUCUUAAACAACACAGAAAACAACCACAUGGGAUACUGGGUCUCUAGCAAAAAUAAUAAGGAAAAGCACUGAUUGCCUUUAUGCUAACAUAAAUGCUCUCUGUUUUAAUCCAUGUUUUUAUUAGUUCUUGUCAUUUGUUUUUAUUGGCUAAUGUUUAAAUUUUUAUAAUUGUGCAUGUCUCUUGUCUAUUGUUGUGUUUUAUAUUGCUAUUGUUUUUAUUCGAGCUUGGCCCCAUGUAAGCCGCCCUGAGUCCCCUUUGGGGAGAUAGAGGUGGGGUAUAAAAAUAAAGUUAUUAUUAUUAUUAUUAUUAUUAUUAUUAUUAUUAUUAUUAUUAUUAUUAUUAUAAAUUAUUUUGAAUAAAAUUGAAUGUACUUAUCAAGCAUUUAUUUAUUUAUGUAUUUCUUUCACUCAUCUCUCAGGGCUGAGACUCAAGGUGAUUUGUAAAAAAAUAGGUAGACACCCCCCCCCCCCAAAAGAAAAAUACAAUGCUAAA
rnacentral:lncRNA from 1 species